GACGAACGCUGGCGGCGUGCCUAAUCCAUGCAAGUAGCACGAGUGGCGGACGGGUGAGUAAUGUCUGGGAAACUGCCUGAUGGAGGGGGAUAACUAAUGGAAACGGUAGCUAAUACCGCAUACCAUCAGAUGUGCCCAGAGGGGAUUAGCUAGUUGGUGGGGUAACGGCUCACCAAGGCGACGAUCCCUAGCUGGUCUGAGAGGAUGCCCAGCCACACUGGAACUGAGACACGUUUCAGACUCCUACGGGAGGCAGCAGUGGGGAAUAUUGCACAAUGGGCGCAAGCCUGAGGCAGCCAUGCCGCGGGUAUGAAGAAGGCCUUCGGGUUGUAAAGUACUUUCAGCGGGGAGGCGUUACCCGCAGAAGAAGCACCGGCUAACUCCGUGCCAGCAGCCGCGGUAAUUC
rnacentral:rRNA from 1 species